rnacentral:rRNA from 1 species
GACAGAGGGGGCAAGCGUUGUUCGGAUUUACUGGGCGUAAAGCGCACGUAGGCGGAUUGGUCAGUUAGGGGUGAAAUCCUGGAGCUCAACUCCAGAACUGCCUUUAAUACUGCCAGUCUCGAGUCCGGAAGAGGUAAGUGGAACUCCUAGUGUAGAGGUGGAAUUCGUAGAUAUUAGGAAGAACACCAGUGGCGAAGGCGGCUUACUGGUCCGGUACUGACGCUGAGGUGCGAAAGCGUGGGGAGCAAACAGG